GCCGGGAAAUGAGAAGCCAUUGGUACCGUGGGCUAGACAGGGCUUAACUUAGGGAAGGGCGGGGGCCGGGAGAGGAGGUGGAGGUGCUGGGUUCUCCCUGGUGUCCCAUGGGACAGGGGCUGAGGAAAGCCAGGGAUGCCAACAGCAGCUGUUUCUCAGCAGAAAGGACCUUCUAACCUGACUGGGAGUUGUACGCCCCGCGACCUGGGAGUCAACUUUAGACCUGGCAGUCAACCUUGGACCUGGGAACCAACUUGGAAUGUGGUCCCUUCUCAUUCAAGAACUACCUAAUAUCACGGAAGGAAUAACGACCUUGUUGCCCAAACAAUGGAGUCCCACCCCAGCCCAAAUUGCAUACUUCCCCAAGCAUGUAAUCCCUACUUCCCCAUGUAAUCUUUGCCCUUCUUCUCAAGAUAAGCAGCUGGCUUAUGGAAGGUUGCAGAGCAGGUUUUUGUGGAUGACCCGCUGCUCUCCCAUACCGCUGGCAUUAUUGGAAUAAACGUUCUUAUAUGAUCCAA